CACGUAGGGCGCGAGCGUUGUCCGGAAUUAUUGGGCGUAAAGAGCUCGUAGGCGGCCUGUUGCGUCCGCUGUGAAAGCCCGGGGCUUAACCCCGGGCCUGCAGCCGAUACGGGCAAGCUAGAAUUCGGUAGGGGAGACUGGAAUUCCUGGUGUAGCGGUGGAAUGCGCAGAUAUCAGGAGGAACACCGAUGGCGAAGGCAGAUCUCUGGGCCGUAACUGACGCUGAGGAGCGAAAGCAUGGGGAGCGAACAGG
rnacentral:rRNA from 1 species